rnacentral:rRNA from 1 species
UACAGAGGUCCCAAGCGUUGUUCGGAUUCACUGGGCGUAAAGGGUGCGUAGGUGGCCAGGUAAGUUUGGUGUGAAAGCUCGGAGCUUAACUCCGAAAAGUCAUCGAAUACUAUCUGGCUGGAGGGUCGGAGGGGAGACUGGAAUUCUCGGUGUAGCAGUGAAAUGCGUAGAUAUCUGGAGGAACACCGGUGGCGAAGGCGGCUCACUGGCCCGGUACUGACGCUGAGGUGCGAAAGCGUGGGGAGCAAACAGGG